GCCCUGGCAGCUCGAAGGUCGAGCGUCCGCGUGAAGAGCGGAAGGUGGAGGUUCGAUCCCUCCCUGGGGCA
rnacentral:tRNA from 1 species